rnacentral:snoRNA from 1 species
CAAUAAGCAUGCAUAGCCAUCAAGAAGGGGGAGAGUAAAAACACAGCUUUUGGGUGAAGUGGCAGCAUGUGUUGUUUUGCUUCAAUUGGUGGUGUGACAGGU